UCCACCGAAAGCCUAAGGGGUCCUGAGCAACGAUCGUCGUCUCAGGGUAAGUCGGGACCUAAGCCGAGGCGGAAAAGCGUAGGCGAGGGACAACAGGUUGAAAUUCCUGUACCGGUGUGAAUCGUUUGAUCGAUGGAGUGACACAGUAAGGUAGGUCAGCACGCGAUUGGAAGUGCGUGUUUAAGCAGGUAGGUUGAGCUAUAGGCAAAUCCGUAGCUCUAAAAGCUGAGAUGUGAUGACGAGUUACUAGCGAUAGUAACGAAGUGAUUGAUCCUACACUGUCGAGAAAAGCUUCUAGGUAGAGACACAUCGCCCGUACCAAAACCGACACAGGUAGGCGGGGAGAGAAUCCUAAGGUGCGCGGGAAAACCCUCGUUAAGGAACUCGGCAAAAUGCCUCCGUAACUUCGGGAAAAGGAGGACUCAUGUAGUGUGAAGAGCAGCAACGCUUGGAGCAUGAAUGAGUGGCACAAGAGAGGCGCAAGCGACUGUUUACCACAAACACAGGUGCCUGCUAAAGCGAAAGCUGACGUAUAGGUGCUGACACCUGCCCGGUGCUGGAAGGUUAAGAGGAGGGGUUAGACUUCGGUCGAAGCUCUGAAUUGAAGCCCCAGUAAACGGCGGCCGUAACUAUAACGGUCCUAAGGUAGCGAAAUUCCUUGUCGGGUAAGUUCCGACCCGCACGAAAGGUGUAACGACUUGCGCACUGUCUCAACGAGGGACCCGGUGAAAUUGAAGUACCUGUGAAGAUGCAGGUUACCCGCGACAGGACGGAAAGACCCCAUGGAGCUUUACUGCAACCUAAGAUUGAACUUAGUUAAUGAAUGUACAGGAUAGGUGGGAGACGUAGAAUCUAGGACGCCAGUUUUAGAGGAGUCACUGUUGGGAUACCACCCUUUCAUUAAUUGAUUUCUAACGGGCCGAGUAACGACCGGCCGGACAGUCUUAGGCGGGC
rnacentral:rRNA from 1 species